rnacentral:piRNA from 1 species
UGUAUUUUUCAAAAACUGCGA